ACUGAGGUCUAUCCCGACAGACUCCUCACUGUGGGCCCUAGUCGUUGGAAAUGCCUCAAAGAACAAAUUUGUAGUUUCGCUUUACCCACAGGGCUACUGCCAUUAGCCCUGUGGGAUAUUACUACAGAACAAAU
ensembl:snoRNA